CACACACAUUAUCGCUGUACAAGCUAUCAGUUGCGCAUACACACAUGCUCACGCACAAACUCUCCCUCUCUCUUACAUCUGUCGUUCUGCUCAGGGACAGCAAAUGACUGUGAGAAAUUGGAACGGGGUGAGAGGGUAACUUGUCUUUACAGAUAACCAUGUUUGCUUGGAGAGGAGAGUCCCUGCUCUAGUGCAGGCACUCAUGAUCAGAUGAUAGGAGUCAAAGGCAGCAGCAUGAGGCGGCCUCACUCUGUUGUCCCUCCUUUAAUCUCUGUCCAGCACAGACAACUACAGCCACAGAACACAUGGAACUGUAUUUCACAUCAGGUAACUGAUGCAAGCAGUAGAAUCAGAUUUUUUUUUAACUGAUAGAAAUACACCUUGUGGAACAGCGGGGACUGUGAAGAGACACACACAGUGCCUUCAUGUGUUUGGACCCCAGGAAGAGUAGCUGCUGCCUUGGCAGGAACUAAUGGGGAUCCCUAAUAUAUACAUGAAUACCCCUGAAUGCCAAGGUCCAGAUACUGUAUGUAGAGAUGGUCUUACUGUACCUUGGAGCUGCUGGACGGGUCCUCCUGCCUGGAACAAACAUUCUGACGAGACGCACUGCCAAGAAGCACCCCCUACCCACCCACCCACCAAAAAGAGAGAG